UACAGUUAACAGUUACUCUGAUUCGCGUUAUGGUAGCUGUUGUAAGAAGUACCUGACUAUGCCGGACUUUUGUGCUGCCUACGGAUGCUCUAAUCACCGCAGUCUGCAAACAAGAACCCGUGGGAUCACCUUUCACGUGUUUCCCAAAACCGAAGAGAGGAGGAGGCAGUGGGAACUCGCCCUAAGAAG